rnacentral:rRNA from 1 species
AUGGCGCUAUCACGCAGUAUGAGAACAUGCUUGCAUAGCGGAAGACUUGCCGCCCUGGCAAUACUUGUCUCUGGUGGGAUCGUAUUGCAGAUUUUGGCAUGUGCUCUUUAUAACAACUGGUGGCCCAUGUUGACAGUUCUGAUGUACCUCAUACUACCCAUGCCGCUCAUAUUUUUCCUGGGCUCCGAUUCUCCAUCGAUCAUGUCAAAUGAGAAUGAUGGGUGGGUGAACUUCACCAAGUUCCUGACGGGCGCGUCCAUCGUGGGCAGCAUCGCCAUCCCGUCGAUCCUGAAGCACGCCGGCGUCAUCGGGUGGGGCGCGCUGACGAUGGAGCUGUCCUCCUUCGCCGUCUUCGGGCUGGCCAUCGUGUGGUUCCUCCAGAUGAACUCCGAGGACGAGUACAGCGCCUUCUGA